UUUGAAGACCGUCACCAUUGGUUAACAUUUCCUGAAUGACAAGCAAUAGUAGCCAGAAUCCUGGAGUGAAUAGACAUGGAGAAGAGCUGCCUUUUCUUCUCAACUGACAAGUCACGUGGAGGAAAUAAAUCCCUUGAGGACAGUGAAGAAAUAACUUUGAGAUCACCUUCCCAUCCUUCCGAUUUCUUCAAUGAGAGCUUAAAUGGAUUUUCAAAA
rnacentral:lncRNA from 1 species